rnacentral:lncRNA from 1 species
UUGUAUCUCACUUGCAGCGAUUCGUGCAUAGCUCGACCUCCAUGGCCAUCAAAGGCGUUGAUUUCAAGUGGUACGAUGGAUUCUUCUUGUCGAUGAAUUAUAAAAAUUUAGUUUUGGUUUCUUCAAUUUCUUCUUGAAGAUGAUUGAAAAGUUGCAAUUUUACUAUUGUACUUUAUUGCUUUACAAUUGGGAUUGAUUUGGCUCUGUAGUUCUUUAAUGAUUAGGGCUCAGUAAUUCUCUAUUCCUUUUCAUGUGCUUAUUGUAUUCCUUAUUAUGGCAAAGUUUGAAAUUUUUUUGGAAUAAAAUUAGGUUAUUUUCUUCAAAGUAUUUGUGUCUUGUUCUAGAUACUGAGAAAGUUGGAAAUAUUUACGACUGAACUUGUUGAUUGUUCUUCAGUGGGACUCUUGCAUCUUCUAUUUUUGGUGGUUCUUUCCUUGUCCAACUUAUGAUGUGUUCCUGUAUUCAAUGUUGGCAAUUGUGGUUUUUAUGUUAUAAUAAAUUUGGUACAGU